rnacentral:lncRNA from 1 species
AGUUAAAUCAAAUAGCUGCUGCUGUUCCUACUACUAACCCCGGUAUACCAUCACAACCGGAAGGAUUAGAAUCUGCAAAUCUUGUAGACAUGUUUGAUGCAGGUAAUUGGAGUAACCCCGUCACUGAAUUCUCUACUGACCUUCUGCCGGUUAAGAGAGGCGAUCCAGGACGCCCCGUCAUCCCGAUCUCCAUCGGCAUGGUGGACGUUCCAGAAGCACUCUGCGACUUUGGCUCCAGUGUCAACAUUAUACCUAGGGUACUCUAUGAAAAAUUCUUUACAUAUCCUUUAUUAGAGACAACCAUGUGUUUGCAGUUUGCAGAUCAGACGAUAACUUUUCCAAAAGGAAUAGUGAGGAAUCUUUGUGUCCGAGUUGGUACCUUAUAUGCCCCAGCAGACUUCGUAGUGGUAGAGACCGGAAAUGAUGAGAGAGCACCUAUUAUCUUAGGGAGGCCAUUCUUGAACACCACGGGAGCUAUCAUCUACGCCAGUGCUGCCAAGAUCAGUUUCUACGUCAAAGGGAAGAAGGAGACAUUUUUCUUCAAGAACAAGACUACACAAAUUCAAGAUCAAUCCAGACGUAAAUCAAGGAAGAGGACCAACAGAAGAAACAGGAACAAGCAAGUGUGGACCGAGUCAGCUAAGAUGGUCACUGUAGUCCAUGGAGGCCAAGAUCAUCAACUUAAGUCACCGUUUUUGACCAAGAAGGACGACCCAGGAAUGCCAAGCAUCUACUGCUCCAUAAAUGGAUACAACUUCUACAAGACGAUUUGCGACACCGGAUCGGGCGUCAACAUAAUGGCCGCAGUCACCUAUCGUCUCUUGUUCGGAACCAUGCCACUAAGACCAACGUACAUUCAGCUCCAGAUGGCAGAUCAGACAUUUCGAGAAGUCAAAGGAAUAGUAUCUGAUGUCCCAGUCAAAAUAGACGAUCAUUUUGUCUACACAGACUUUCAAGUUGUUGACAUGGGAGAAGAUGAGUAUGAUCCACCCAUCAUCCUUGGAAGACCGUUCCUCAGCACUGUUAAAGCAAUCAUCUACAUUGGAACCGAAGAAGUCCAUAUGCACUUCCCCUCAAAGAAGGUACGCCGUUACUUUAUUGACCCUGACUAUAUCGUUGAAGAAUCUAAGCAGGUGAGAAAGAGACGCAACCGCAACCAGAGGAGGCAGAUCAUCAAGGACGGAUGGGCAGACUAUGAAGGAGAAGUUGUAAGAUCAGAAGACGUUGAGUUUAAACAGAAUUAUCCAGAGGGGAUUGAAGCACCAAGUCAAGUGUGAAAAAUAAAGAUAACUAUACAAGAAGAGGAGGCGCUGCCGGAAGUACCGACUACGCCACCCAACGAACCUAAGGACGAUUAAGAAAAUGGAGAGUCCCGUUCGGAGGACUUAAAAACACCGAACGCCUUGCCAAGAGGUAAACUUGGUAGUUAUCAUUUCCCUUUCAAUUAUUUCAAAUAGUUUAUUUAGUUAAUCAUAUUCAUACUAUCCUAAAAAGAAAAUAAAAAUAUGAAAACCAGUAAGCCCCAUGUGAGUAUGCGAGUGGCAUAAAACCCAUAAGUACAUUCACUGUGGUGGCAUAAAAAUAAAAUAAUUAUUUUUUCUGCUUUAUAAAAAAAAAAUAUAAAAACAAGGAGUAAUAUUUAUUAAGGAGUCUCAACAUGAUAAAGGCUAGAUAUUUAUGCCAACACUUAAUCAGUUCCACAAGCUUUGUUGUCUAUUUGAGCUCCACAGAAUUUAAGAAUCAAGAAGACUAGCAGACGGAGGACAUUCUAAUCGCUGUCAGAAUACUGCUGACUUUCAAAUACACCUCUGCCACCUGCUAGCUACAUCAAGAGAAAUUACGUCAAAAUUCAGCUUGGGAGAGAGCACCCCUAUUUACCUCGAUAAGUAUUUCUAUCUAUCUUUAUACUUAUAUUAUUCUAGAAUAUAAAUACACAUAACUAUGAAAAACCAAAUAAAGAUUUUAUGCUUAUAUAUAUUUUGCUUAGUGUGUUUAAUAAAUAAAUAAAGUGGCUAUGCUAAUCUGUAUCUAAAUAAAACUUAAGCAUGGAUAUGAUAAAUAGUUGCUCUGCCUAAUUUGCAAAUUUUAAGUUCUCUCUCAAGUUUAGACAUAACUGUUAUAAUUUAAAUCUUGCUCUAGACCUAAACUUGUGGGAUGAAAACUUGAUCUGAAGUCUAAGUUGUUAAUGGAUACGAUAUGGGAAAGUUGAGCUGUUGUUUAUCUGUUCCUAGAGAUGCUAGAAUUCUGGAGAAUUUUAUCUUUGAAAAUCUUUAAAAUGUUGCAUGAUGAGUCCCUGUAUGAUGAGUGUUUAAAUUCCUACCACAGCCAUAUAUACAUGCUUGCUAGACUUUGAGCCACACAUUUACUAUUUACUGCUUAUGAGCAUUGAGUAUAGUCAAGCUGUGUAGACCCUUAGGGGCUUGUCAUGUGGUUAAAUCAAGAUUUCACUUGCACGUUCACUCAUAUAUGCUACUUCUACUCCAGAAGUACCAUCCACAUAUAUCCAUCCAUUUCCAUCUCCAGAAUCACCUAAAAAUAUUCUACUCUUAAUCCGGGAGAGAAUAACCAAAAAUAUUUCUGUUUUCCUCUUGUGAAAUAAAUGCUCAAGUUAUCUUGUUACUACCACUUGCUAUAUUAUCUCAAGAGAUGAAUGCUCUGAAAAAAAAGAAAAAAAGAUACGAGGAAAUAAAAAGGAGCAAGUGCUCGGAACCUCGAAAGAAAAGAAAAAGUGAGACAAGAGGUAAAAAUGGACAAGUGUCCGACAGUAGAAAUUAGGGGUACAAGAUACCCACCUGAGAGAAAAGAAAAGGAAGAGCAUCUCAUUCUCCUCAUAAAGUUUCAAAAGCAAGGAAGGUAUGUAUCCCCUCAAAGAGCAAAGUAGAAUUAGUCUUCCACCACCAUUGUUUUCACCAUUGUUGUCACCAUCACCACCAUACACCAUUCAUUCAUCACACAUGCACAUCUUGAUUUGGCUUAUUGAUUUGUUUCUUUGGAUCCAUGGUUUGACUAUGCAAUAAAUGUCUUGUAAGUAUGUAUAUUUUAUCUCCCACCUAUGAGCUCCAGAUAUUAAAGUCUUAUUAGAGUAGGAUGAGAGAGAAGGCAAUGUCACUAUGCCUCAUACCACAAAUACUACAUAUUUUGAGAGAAGGCAUAUACCAUCACUGCCUUGGUAAGGAUCCAAAAAAUACCACAAAAGAGAGACCUGAGAGAAUCAUACAAGGAAUCUCUGAGUUUUAUUUGAAAAUCUGCAAAAAACCCCAGAACUAUAGCGGAUCAAGAAUAAGAGACAUGGCACUUGGCUAGACUGUUCUAUCUUUUAACCACUCAAGAUAGAAGUGACGGUUACAAGUCCCAUGGUGAAGGUGAAGUAAGUAAGUUUUAAGUCUUGACAGUUUACUCUAACUCAGAGAUGAGAUCUUAUUUAAAAAGCAUGUGUACCGUCAAUUUUUUAAAGAUAUUGCAACAACUUAUGAUCCAUAGCUAAGUCUAUCCUUGCUCAGGGACGAGCAAGAGGUAAGCUUGGGGGAGUUUGUUGACGGUCCUUAAGUAUCAAAUUUAAUUAUCAAAUAAAUAAAGAAAAGGAUCCAAAUGAAAUCAACAUCCAGACUUAGGGUUUUAUCUGACAGAAUUCCACGAGUUUUGGUGUUUGUCUAUUUCUGCAGGGGGUUAUCAGGAAAUACGGAAGAAAGGUCCACAUGUCGGGAUUACGUAAAGAUAUUAACGUCCUGCGCAAUUAUCUUACAUCUAGAAGACUCCAGAAGCCACGAGACCGAAGCGGAGGCGAAACGGGGCCAGAGACAGGGCGCCCGCCCUGUCCUACUAGGCGCCCGCCCACCUCCUGUGUCCAAUCAGGACUCUGCUUUGCGGGAGAUCUCCACCGACCUAAAGGAUGAAUCUAAACCAUACAAUCUAUGUCGGUUUGAUCCAAUGGCCCAUAUUCACUUGAAGGGACUAUAAAACCAGACCCCCUGGCCCCUGGAGGAGAGAGCCUCUCAACCCUAAUUCAUUGUUCAUCAAGGGAGAAGAAGCCUCUGAUCAAGAUUAGAGCCACCACAUCAAUUAAAUAUCUAGAUUAGCAUAGCUACAUAGGAUUAGAACUAGAAGGAGUCAAUCUUCGAUUGGUUUCCGGAUCUGUCAGGAGGAUUCUUGGUAAUUCUCUAAUUGUGCUUCUAAUUGCUUUCUAAUUAUCUUUGUUCUUCAAUAUUAUGAAUAUGACUUUGUUCUACUUCAAUAUAUUGCUUAUGACUUUGCUCUACUUGCUUAUAUUCAAGAUUAUAUUGUUCUUAGUUUAUCAUAGUUAUGUACUUGGCUUAGUUAGAUUCGAUCUAUAUACAUGCUUAGGAUCGUAUAGCGUUUAUCCAUCGGAUCCAUGGGUAAAUGAUAGAUAUUGUGUAGGCGUGGUGCUUAUACCGUAUUUAUCUGUGAUUGUACCCAAUAUGCCAGAUCGUGGGGUGGUUCGUGAUAGUGACAGCUUCAUUGAUUCUUAUAUAGUCCCCCUCUCGUGUAUUGGGCUGGCAGAGCAACAUUAUUACAGGGGAGUGAUUGCUAUGUUUCUCAUAUUCCUUGCUAAUAUCACUAUGCAUGGGCGUAGUCUUGUCUCGCAAUGAUUGCUAAGUAUGCUUGCACUAAUUAUGAUAUGCUAGACUAUAUAGUUAAGAAUAACUUAGGGAAUAUUCUUGUAGUUCGUUCUAAUACCAUGCUAAUGACUUUCUAGAGUAUCUAAUUGAGGUGCUUAUCAUAUUUAUUAUGUGGCUAGAUCAGAUUAGUUAUCCUUGUCACUAUUAUUAUUUCAUAUAUCCUUUAUGUGACACUUAUCCCUGUAUGAAGAGUUAGAUAUAAUGUUCUCAAUUAUACAUGCAAUGAUAGAUUCUCAAUCUCAUAUUCUAUUCUGUAAUCAAUAGUGAUGAUUGCUAAUAACUUCCCAGUGGUAAAAAUAUAAAUAACGAUACCUGGAAUACUUCCCGGUUAAAAUGCUACAUCGGUAUUAAUCUGUGCGCUUGCAGAUCCCAUUCAUUAUUUAUUUAGAAGAGCAAUUGCAUAUUUCAAUACCACGUCUCUUAUAUCAUGCUGGGGAUGACAACUUGGCUUAAGUGGUGUGAGGGAUAGGUUUGGCAUUUUUGGCACCGUUACUAGAUUUAGAGAACUUAGUCUACUUUUGGUAAUGAUGUUAAGAAUACUCAACAAGCAUUUUUUGGCGCCGUUGCCGGGGAAGGUUGAUUACAAAUCAGGAAUGGAAUAAAAGAUUUUGAGUUAUCAUUCGCAUCACUAAUAUGAUUGAGCUUAUCUAUUCUCUCAUACAGUUUUACCCCGAUAUUUUUCUAUUUUAUCUUAUGCAGGGGAAUGUAUGAAUAGAAGACAUCUUCUAGGAAAUUUUGACAAUCCCGAAGCAUUAUUCAAGAAGACGAGGGCCAAGCUCAAGAAGAGAUCAUCAACACUUCACGAAGAAGCUUCAUCUAAUCAAGAAGAUCACCGGAACUUGUCUUCAGAGUUCGAAGCCAUGGCGAACAAAUCGAUCCGCGAGCUCUCAGCUCCCACUACGGACAACAUCCGCACUGGACCUGUUGCAGAGAUCGAUGGCAACUUUGAGCUCAAGCCUGGACUUAUCAACAUGGUGCAAUCCAACCAGUUCUGUGGGAAGGCACACGAAGAUGCUAGUGCUCAUUUACAACACUUCCUGGAGAUUUGCAACACAUUCACCAUAGCAGGAGUUUCCAAAGACGCUAUACUACUUCGCCUCUUCCCAUUCUCACUGUUAGGAAGAGCGAAGCAGUGGUUCUACACUACAAAGGAGAAGAAUACUACGUGGGCACUCUGCUCAACAAACUUCCUGGCAAAGUUCUUUCCCAUGGGCAAGACCAAUGCUCUCUGUGGGAAGAUUACAAGUUUUCAGCAACAAAAUGAUGAAUCUGUUCCAGAAGCAUGGGAGCGCUUUCAAGACUACAUCCUAGAAUGUCCCCAUCAUGGAAUGAAGAGUUGGCUAUUGAUGCAGACAUUCUAUCAUGGGCUCAGCAACAGUGCCCGAGAGACCAUGGAUGCUGCAGCUGGAGGAGCAUUCUUAUCACUUACUAUACCACAAGCCACAGCUCUUGUGGAGAAGAUGGCGUCCAAUCAAAGCUGGAAUGAAGAGAGGACCCAGACACGCAAGAGAGGUGGAGGUAUGCAUCAGCUGAAGGAGGUAGACAUGCUGUCUGCAAAGCUAGACCUGCUCAUGAAGAAGCUCGAUGAUAGAGCUGGAGACAAGAAAGAAGUUAUGCACAUCUACGAUUCUCACAUGACUUGUGAGGAGUGUGGAGAUACUGGACACUCAGGCAACCACUGCUCUGAGAUGCUUGAGGAUGUGAACUACAUCAACAACAACUACUACUACUACUACAACCGUCCUCAACAAAAUCAAGGUUGGAAUCAACAGAGGCCUAACUACUGAGGUAAUUCUCAAGGUAACAAUUCUUACAACAAUAAUAAUAAUUUUCCACCUUUGAGAGAGUUAGUGUCUAAUCAAGGAAAGCUAAUGGAUAACCUAUCUAAGAAAUUGGCAUCUAAUGAUAAAAUGCUAGAAAAUAUAAAUAAUAGAAUGGAUAAUUUCUCUACUGCCAUCAAGAAUCAAAUUAGCUUUAAUAAAAUGAUUGAAUCUCAGUUAAAUCAAAUAGCUGCUGCUGUUCCUACUACUAACCCCGGUAUACCAUCACAACCGGAAGGAUUAGAAUCUGCAAAUCUUGUAGACAUGUUUGAUGCAGGUAAUUGGAGUAACCCCGUCACUGAAUUCUCUACUGACCUUCUGCCGGUUAAGAGAGGCGAUCCAGGACGCCCCGUCAUCCCGAUCUCCAUCGGCAUGGUGGACGUUCCAGAAGCACUCUGCGACUUUGGCUCCAGUGUCAACAUUAUACCUAGGGUACUCUAUGAAAAAUUCUUUACAUAUCCUUUAUUAGAGACAACCAUGUGUUUGCAGUUUGCAGAUCAGACGAUAACUUUUCCAAAAGGAAUAGUGAGGAAUCUUUGUGUCCGAGUUGGUACCUUAUAUGCCCCAGCAGACUUCGUAGUGGUAGAGACCGGAAAUGAUGAGAGAGCACCUAUUAUCUUAGGGAGGCCAUUCUUGAACACCACGGGAGCUAUCAUCUACGCCAGUGCUGCCAAGAUCAGUUUCUACGUCAAAGGGAAGAAGGAGACAUUUUUCUUCAAGAACAAGACUACACAAAUUCAAGAUCAAUCCAGACGUAAAUCAAGGAAGAGGACCAACAGAAGAAACAGGAACAAGCAAGUGUGGACCGAGUCAGCUAAGAUGGUCACUGUAGUCCAUGGAGGCCAAGAUCAUCAACUUAAGUCACCGUUUUUGACCAAGAAGGACGACCCAGGAAUGCCAAGCAUCUACUGCUCCAUAAAUGGAUACAACUUCUACAAGACGAUUUGCGACACCGGAUCGGGCGUCAACAUAAUGGCCGCAGUCACCUAUCGUCUCUUGUUCGGAACCAUGCCACUAAGACCAACGUACAUUCAGCUCCAGAUGGCAGAUCAGACAUUUCGAGAAGUCAAAGGAAUAGUAUCUGAUGUCCCAGUCAAAAUAGACGAUCAUUUUGUCUACACAGACUUUCAAGUUGUUGACAUGGGAGAAGAUGAGUAUGAUCCACCCAUCAUCCUUGGAAGACCGUUCCUCAGCACUGUUAAAGCAAUCAUCUACAUUGGAACCGAAGAAGUCCAUAUGCACUUCCCCUCAAAGAAGGUACGCCGUUACUUUAUUGACCCUGACUAUAUCGUUGAAGAAUCUAAGCAGGUGAGAAAGAGACGCAACCGCAACCAGAGGAGGCAGAUCAUCAAGGACGGAUGGGCAGACUAUGAAGGAGAAGUUGUAAGAUCAGAAGACGUUGAGUUUAAACAGAAUUAUCCAGAGGGGAUUGAAGCACCAAGUCAAGUGUGAAAAAUAAAGAUAACUAUACAAGAAGAGGAGGCGCUGCCGGAAGUACCGACUACGCCACCCAACGAACCUAAGGACGAUUAAGAAAAUGGAGAGUCCCGUUCGGAGGACUUAAAAACACCGAACGCCUUGCCAAGAGGUAAACUUGGUAGUUAUCAUUUCCCUUUCAAUUAUUUCAAAUAGUUUAUUUAGUUAAUCAUAUUCAUACUAUCCUAAAAAGAAAAUAAAAAUAUGAAAACCAGUAAGCCCCAUGUGAGUAUGCGAGUGGCAUAAAACCCAUAAGUACAUUCACUGUGGUGGCAUAAAAAUAAAAUAAUUAUUUUUUCUGCUUUAUAAAAAAAAAAUAUAAAAACAAGGAGUAAUAUUUAUUAAGGAGUCUCAACAUGAUAAAGGCUAGAUAUUUAUGCCAACACUUAAUCAGUUCCACAAGCUUUGUUGUCUAUUUGAGCUCCACAGAAUUUAAGAAUCAAGAAGACUAGCAGACGGAGGACAUUCUAAUCGCUGUCAGAAUACUGCUGACUUUCAAAUACACCUCUGCCACCUGCUAGCUACAUCAAGAGAAAUUACGUCAAAAUUCAGCUUGGGAGAGAGCACCCCUAUUUACCUCGAUAAGUAUUUCUAUCUAUCUUUAUACUUAUAUUAUUCUAGAAUAUAAAUACACAUAACUAUGAAAAACCAAAUAAAGAUUUUAUGCUUAUAUAUAUUUUGCUUAGUGUGUUUAAUAAAUAAAUAAAGUGGCUAUGCUAAUCUGUAUCUAAAUAAAACUUAAGCAUGGAUAUGAUAAAUAGUUGCUCUGCCUAAUUUGCAAAUUUUAAGUUCUCUCUCAAGUUUAGACAUAACUGUUAUAAUUUAAAUCUUGCUCUAGACCUAAACUUGUGGGAUGAAAACUUGAUCUGAAGUCUAAGUUGUUAAUGGAUACGAUAUGGGAAAGUUGAGCUGUUGUUUAUCUGUUCCUAGAGAUGCUAGAAUUCUGGAGAAUUUUAUCUUUGAAAAUCUUUAAAAUGUUGCAUGAUGAGUCCCUGUAUGAUGAGUGUUUAAAUUCCUACCACAGCCAUAUAUACAUGCUUGCUAGACUUUGAGCCACACAUUUACUAUUUACUGCUUAUGAGCAUUGAGUAUAGUCAAGCUGUGUAGACCCUUAGGGGCUUGUCAUGUGGUUAAAUCAAGAUUUCACUUGCACGUUCACUCAUAUAUGCUACUUCUACUCCGGAAGUACCAUCCACAUAUAUUCAUCCAUUUCCAUCUCCAGAAUCACCUAAAAAUAUUCUACUCCUAAUCCGGGAGAGAAUAACCAAAAAUAUUUCUGUUUUCCUCUUGUGAAAUAAAUGCUCAAGUUAUCUUGUUACUACCACUUGCUAUAUUAUCUCAAGAGAUGAAUGCUCUGAAAAAAAAAGAAAAAAAGAUACGAGGAAAUAAAAAGGAGCAAGUGCUCGGAACCUCGAAAGAAAAGAAAAAGUGAGACGAGAGGUAAAAAUGGACAAGUGUCCGACAGUAGAAAUUAGGGGUACAAGAUACCCACCUGAGAGAAAAGAAAAAGAAGAGCAUCUCAUUCUCCUCAUAAAGUUUCAAAAGCAAGGAAGGUAUGUAUCCUCUCAAAGAGCAAAGUAGAAUUAGACUUCCACCACCAUUGUUUUCACCAUUGUUGUCACCAUCACCACCAUACACCAUUCAUUCGUCACACAUGCACAUCUUGAUUUGGCUUAUUGAUUUGUUUCUUUGGAUCCAUGGUUUGACUAUGCAAUAAAUGUCUUGUAAGUAUGUAUAUUUUAUCUCCCACCUAUGAGCUCCAGAUAUUAAAGUCUUAUUAGAGUAGGAUGAGAGAGAAGGCAAUGUCACUAUGCCUCAUACCACAAAUACUACAUAUUUUGAGAGAAGGCAUAUACCAUCACUGCCUUGGUAAGGAUCCAAAAAAUACCACAAAAGAGAGACCUGAGAGAAUCAUACAAGGAAUCUCUGAGUUUUAUUUGAAAAUCUGCAAAAAACGCCAGAGCUAUAGCGGAUCAAGAAUAAGAGACAUGGCACUUGGCUAGACUGUUCUAUCAUUUAACCACUCAAGAUAGAAGUGACGGUUACAAGUCCCAUGGUGAAGGUGAAGUAAGUAAGUUUUAAGUCUUGACAGUUUACUCUAACUCAGAGAUGAGAUCUUAUUUAAAAAGCAUGUGUACCGUCAAUUUUUUAAAGAUAUUGCAACAACUUAUGAUCCAUAGCUAAGUCUAUCCUUACUCAGGGACGAGCAAGAGGUAAGCUUGGGGGAGUUUGUUGACGGUCCUUAAGUAUCAAAUUUAAUUAUCAAAUAAAUAAAGAAAAGGAUCCAAAUGAAAUCAACAUCCAGACUUAGGGUUUUAUCUGACAGAAUUCCACGAGUUUUGGUGUUUGUCUAUUUCUGCAGGGGGUUAUCAGGAAAUACGGAAGAAAGGUCCACAUGUCGGGAUUACGUAAAGAUAUUAACGUCCUGCGCAAUUAUCUUACAUCUAGAAGACUCCAGAAGCCACGAUACCGAAGCGGAGGCGAAACGGGGCCAGAGACAGGGCGCCCGCCCUGUCCUACUGGGCGCCCGCCCACCUCCUGUGUCCAAUCAGGACUCUGCUUUGCGGGAGAUCUCCACCGACCUAAAGGAUGAAUCUAAACCAUACAAUCUAUGUCGGUUUGAUCCAAUGGCCCAUAUUCACUUGAAGGGACUAUAAAACCAGACCCCCUGGCCCCUGGAGGAGAGAGCUUCUCAACCCUAAUUCAUUGUUCAUCAAGGGAUAAGAAGCCUCUGAUCAAGAUUAGAGCCACCACAUCAAUUAGAUAUCUAGAUUAGCAUAGCUACAUAGGAUU